UACGAAGGGGGCUAGCGUUGCUCGGAAUCACUGGGCGUAAAGGGCGCGUAGGCGGCCAUUCAAGUCGGAGGUGAAAGCCCAGGGCUCAACCCUGGAAUUGCCUUCGAUACUGUUUGGCUAGAGACCGGAAGAGGUAAGUGGAACUGCGAGUGUAGAGGUGAAAUUCGUAGAUAUUCGCAAGAACACCAGUGGCGAAGGCGGCUUACUGGUCCGGUUCUGACGCUGAGGCGCGAAAGCGUGGGGAGCAAACAGG
rnacentral:rRNA from 3 species